GCCUCUGGAAAGGCCCUCCUCUCUCCCAGCUCCCUUCUGUCGGCCCCCGACUCCCGCCCCCAAAAAGUGUUCGCCGCAGAUAAAUUUAGUUCAGGCUGGCCUUCUUCCAGAAGCUCAACAAUGCCAGUUUUAUCUGAAUGUUUCUAACUGGUUUCACAGACUUAAUCGCCCUUCUCUCCCUACAAUAUAAUGUUAUUACUUGUCCCUGACGAAGAUGAGGAGGGGGAACGUGAAAUUAAAAUGGCCAGGUGACCUGAGUGCUGCCUUGUAACAUAACAUGGCGGUCCCAAGAGAAAAAUCAGUUGCAUACCUAGCAGUGGAACAGUAGAACUGGAGUGGGCAUUUGGCUGACUGAAGACACGUUGGCGCUGUGAAAAUAACUUCUGAUGUCAGCAAGGUCUUAUUUACUGUACUGAAUUUAAACCCUGUUUGGAAGACUGAAUUAUUAAUUGCUUUUUGGGGUGUCUCAUAAGGAAAGCAUUCCACUUCAUCAGAGGAAUCUUCACAGUUCCUGUGUUAGAUAGGGCAGUACUUCCUAUGACUGUACGCUGGUUUAUAGGAGAGAACUGCAGUGCACAGAAGAAGAUCAGAGGUAUCUGUUAAUUUGGUAUGCCUAGGACUUUGAUUUUUUUCAGAGAACUGACAUAUGCCAGAACUGACAGUCCCCUCUGAUUUUGUUUGCAACCGCGAGCACUCGCAACUUCCACAAAUUAGGUCACAGAGUCUCCAGUCAGGGAGCUAGAAAAAGAGGAGGGCACAGACAAUGACCACCUGUGAUAAAUUUGGUUAAAUGACUUGCUUCAUGUCACGACAGUGACAGAGUCCUGUCAUGGGAUUUACCAGAGUAGCAUUCAACGGUUUUAAUCAUUAAAGCAUCCUUUCUGUGUUAGCAAUAUCCUGACUUGCCAACCAAAUACCUUCUACCUUCCAGACCAAAUGAGUUACAGCUCCUACGGAAAACAGCCUCCCUUCCUGCAAGCCAUGGUUCAUCUACAAGCAGGUCCACCCUGGGCACUGACAAGGGGAGAGUGCCUGUGAACGAUCACCUCACUACAAUAUAUAAGCAUGUUUACGUGUCUAAGUUGGAUGUGGACAACUGGCCUGGAAAACUUCAGCCAGAAGACUGGCGAAGUUAUUACCAACUGAACACACUCGCGUCAGCGGGAAAUGUGCAUGUCAGUCACAGGAAGUUACUAUCCAUACCACACCAUUUACAAUAAACUUUCAGUAACAUAAAUACGGAUGAAAUAGGAGGUCUAAUACUCAGGCUUACCAGAACACAUGAACUGAGUGUAUUAGGCCUGGGUUAGGGGGGAAUACAGAAGGGACAGAAUACAUCAGCAUACAAAGCUCAGACAGCAGCGGCUCACAAAGAUGCAUAUAGGCAACGACCAGGGGUGGGAGACCAGAGGCACACAGCAGGCAGUUCCCGCAGGUGAGGGGUUCUGUAAUCGCAGGAAGGGGUUGGCUUGACACCCUCUCCCUGGAAACACAGAUGAAGAUGUUGGGCAAAUUAGAGAGAGAAUCAUCCUGUGACUGAAUUGCAGCAGCUUCUUUGCAGUUCAAGCACCAGAGCUUUGCAAUGAGACCAGGAGAAAGGGUGGUGCUACAACCUGAGCUGGUGGGUAACCUGAACCCCAGAGAUGGAGGGAGCAAUCCCAUUGUCACUUUGGGAGCUGUUUUGUCACCCCCAACCUCUCUGAAUCGCUCACUGAUUAUCUCCUCAUGAUUCCUGUAACCCACAAACGCAUGAAGACUUUAGUAGCAGGAUCUAAAAUCAGGAACUGCUUUUCUGCUACUGUCAUCAUUCUUGCACAAACCCACAAGAAAAGUCUGGGCUAGAGUGUGUGUGGGGUGGAUCCUGGGUCCCUCAGGAAUCCCUCUCUUAUUGCUGUCCUCCUUGAUGCGCAAGAAGAAACUUCCUAACAUAUCAAGAGGACUUUUCCUUCUGGGAAAAGAAGUUCUAACUAUUCCCUUUUCAAAAAAUCUUAAAGGAACUGAUUUACUCUUUUUGUCUCCUCUCUCUUUCUUCAGGCAAAAAAAAGUUGCCCAAACAUUCUCUUUCUCCAAAUUCCUCACACACCCUGUUUUAAAAAGCAGCAGCACUAGCUCUGCUUUGGUUUCACUUUUUCCUCCUCAACUCCCAGAAACGAGUCUGUGAUUAUUACACCCUGCUCAGCUAAUUUUUUUAGAGGGAAUACAACUUACACUGUACAACUGAGUGAUCUGCUUCUUUAACAUCAGCUACAGUCUCCCAUGCUCAUUAUUAUUCCCUCCCAGUUUACAACAUGCACAUUUUUGGAAUACUUGCAUAGAUCUAUGCAAGUCUGAUGAUGUUACAGCCAUUUAUUCUCCCCAGCCAAAAAUGCUAGUAUCUAGACUUAACAGUGUAACAGUAACUAUUUUCCCCCAAAAGAGAAAACGAAGGACGCACAGAGCCGUCCACACAAAUUGUAGUGGUAACACAGAAUAGUUAUAAAUACAAGCACGCUAGUCUGCGAUAGCCACAUAAUCAUAUAAUCCACACAUUUCCUAGCUCCAAUCAGAUCAAUCAGUUUAAUUCUCUUCAUAAAAAAACUCCUUUACUACACUAACUAAUCCCAGCAGGACCGCACCUACAACCUAAACUGACGUGCUUUAAUACACUUUAGAGAGAUAUUUCUUUUUAUACCUCUGCUACAUCUAACUACUGCUACACAAAACAGACAGGAUACAUCCUUUUACCACCACAGAACAGUAAAUGAAAGUUAAGGUUGAGCAGGGUGACAGCCAAUGAUGAAUGCUCGCAAGGCUGUGGGGAACAGGUUAGGUCUCACAGGACUUUUGUAAGUGGUAUCUGGACCUUGUAAACUGUUGGUACGUUUUUGUAACAAAAAAUUAACAGUAAAUUUGCUUGUUAGCUGGGGUCCCUAUCCUUGUAUUAUCAAACUCAGCUCUUAGAUGACAGAUUUAAUCUUUCUCAUGAUCAGUCAAAGCGCUUUUAAUUUUGAGACACCUUUAAUAUGCAAUCCGAGAGCAUCACAGCACUCCCUCAAAAAACGUACAGGCAAAAGAUUGAGGGUGCUUUUCACGUGGCAUGCCAUUUACCUCUGGUGUAUUACAGUGUAACUCCAGCUGAAGUUUGUGGGAGCUGCAUUAGCACAUAGAGGUAUAUGAAAACAAUCAUUUUGCACUACUCUGGAAUAACCUUUCCCAGACUGCUCCAGGGGAGAGCCAUGUCCACUCCUCCUUAACUGAAGAAUGGUUCCUGCUACACUACCUUGCUGUCGAUGUGCAUGGGCUGGUACUACCGCAGGAGACUCACACUCUUGGCAAUACAGUCUUUGUUCGUAUUGCACCACGCCGAUCCCUUCCUUCUGCAAAGGGCAACUCUGCACCAUCUGAAGUCACUGCAGAGGUGACCCACAGCAGACCUUCAACUAACACAUUCUCCUUCUCCUGACAAACUAUGUGCAAACUGUGACCCUUUUUUUCAGCAAGGAAGAAACCCUCUCGAGACCAAUCUGACAGCUCUCACACCGUGUAUCUGAGCAACAGAGGUGCACAAAGGCUCUGAAAUCACUCGACACUUGGAUCAAGAUUUGGCCCCUAAUGACUGAUCAGAGGAACCAAGUACUCCCAAAGUGUUACCCUCACUCACCAGUAGUCAAGCCAGGACUCAGACUAAACUUUUCUGACACGUUACAUAUUGAAAUGUUUUAAAUAAUAGCCAGAAAACUUACUAGACAGGAACUGCAUCUUGAUAGUUCCAGUAUUUACCUCCUCUCUGUCUUCUCUUAGUUACUGCAAACAGAAAUUAAGAUUAACACAACUGUUAACUUCUGGAGCUAAAAGAAAUGCAAGCAGAUAAAGUGGAUAAAGAAAGAACAGGACAAGCUGGAUGUUAGUUAGUUUUAUGCAUCAUCAUGAAUAUAGUAGUAAGCCUCUGCCGAGACAAUAGCAAUUAAUGAGGUAGUGAGCAAAAAGGUUUACCUUACAUAAGGACUGUCAGAUACAAGAUUGUGCGGUCACUAUUGCAGUUCAGACCUUAUCAUUAGUGGGUUAUAAAUACAGAUUUCAGUUUCCCACUGAGUUCAUUUGCUGACUGUAUGCACAUUUUAGAGAGCUGCUGAAAUGUUAAAUCCACACUUCAGAUGUUUAUGUUUUCUUAUUGUAUACAUUAAUGAAUCAAGCCACAUGCUAAAUGGGCAUUUGGUGCAUUAUUUAAGUAAUUUCCUAACACACAGUAAGGAAAAACAUUUUGUAAGCUCUGCCAUAAGAAGGAAAGAUUUAAGAUUUUGUCCACAGUGGUAACUUAAAUACUCUGCCAUGAUUCAUGACUAGAAGACUGGUAGCCACUGUACCAAUAAAUAAACUGCUGCCCAAAUCUAAAGUAAUUCAAGAGAUAAUAACUAUAAGUUAACAAAUUAUUUUU